rnacentral:rRNA from 1 species
GAUCCUGCUCAGGACGAACGCUGGCGGCGCGCCUAACACAUGCAAGUCGAACGAGCGAGAGAGAGCUUGCUUUCUCGAGCGAGUGGCGAACGGGUGAGUAACGCGUGAGGAACCUGCCUCAAGAGGGGACAACAGUUGGAAACGACUGCUAAUACCGCAUAAGCCCACAGCUCGGCAUCGAGCAGAGGGAAAAGGAGCAAUCCGCUUUGAGAUUGGCCUCGCGUCCGAUUAG